GCCCCUGGCCGCCCGACGGGAGGGAGGGAUCGGGUUCUCCUAGGAAGUUUCAGGUCAUUCAACAUUUAUUCAACCAAAAAUACUAAGUCAGCUCUAUACAAACUAAUGGAAGGAUACAGCUAUGCAAAUAUAGAACACUAAAGUGUUACAUGACAGAUGUAUGAGGGGAAGAGUGCUGGAUUCAGAGCCCACCUCAGGGGAAGACAGGACCCUCUCCAAGAUGGUUUCCCUAGAAGCUACUACCUCUCCCUGGAGGGUGGAGAUAUUUGCUGGUCAAAGCAAGAAGGCCCUCUGCAGAUGCUGACACCUUGAUAUUGGACUUCCC
rnacentral:lncRNA from 1 species